AACGGGUGAGUAACACGUGGGUAACCUGCCCAGAAGUAGGGGAUAACACCUGGAAACAGAUGCUAAUACCGUAUAACAGAGAAAACCGCAUGGUUUUCUUUUGAAAGAUGGCUCUGCUAUCACUUCUGGAUGGACCCGCGGCGUAUUAGCUAGUUGGUGAGGUAAAGGCUCACCAAGGCAGUGAUACGUAGCCGACCUGAGAGGGUAAUCGGCCACAUUGGGACUGAGACACGGCCCAGACUCCUACGGGAGGCAGCAGUAGGGAAUCUUCCACAAUGGACGCAAGUCUGAUGGAGCAACGCCGCGUGAGUGAAGAAGGGUUUCGGCUCGUAAAGCUCUGUUGUUAAAGAAGAACGUGGGUAAGAGUAACUGUUUACCCAGUGACGGUAUUUAACCAGAAAGCCACGGCUAACUACGUGCCAGCAGCCGCGGUAAUACGUAGGUGGCAAGCGUUAUCCGGAUUUAUUGGGCGUAAAGCGAGCGCAGGCGGUCUUUUAAGUCUAAUGUGAAAGCCUUCGGCUCAACCGAAGAAGUGCAUUGGAAACUGGGAGACUUGAGUGCAGAAGAGGACAGUGGAACUCCAUGUGUAGCGGUGAAAUGCGUAGAUAUAUGGAAGAACACCAGUGGCGAAGGCGGCUGUCUGGUCUGCAACUGACGCUGAGGCUCGAAAGCAUGGGUAGCGAACAGGAUUAGAUACCCUGGUAGUCCAUGCCGUAAACGAUGAUUACUAAGUGUUGGAAGGGUUUCCGCCCUUCAGUGCUGCAGCUAACGCAUUAAGUAAUCCGCCUGGGGGAGUACGACCGCAAGGUUGAAACUCAAAAGAAUUGACGGGGGCCCGCACAAGCGGUGGAGCAUGUGGUUUAAUUCGAAGCUACGCGAAGAACCUUACCAGGUCUUGACAUCUUCUGACAGUCUAAGAAGAUUAGAGGUUCCCUUCGGGGACAGAAUGACAGGUGGUUGCAUGGUUGUCCUCAGCUCCUGUCCUGGAAAUGUUGGGGUUAAGUCCCGCAACCAAGCGCAACCCUUAUUACUAAUUGCCAGCAUUAAAUUGGGCACUCUAGUGAGACUGCCGGUGACAAACCGGAGGAAAGGUGGGGGACGACAUUCAAAUCUCCAUGGCCCCUUAUAGACUGGGGGUACCACCUUGCUUAAAAUUGGAAUGUUACAACCAAAUUCCCGGGACCCCGCAGGGUUAAUCUUAAUCUCUUUAAAACAUUUUCUAUUUUCCGAAAUGGAGGGGGGGAAUUUCCCUCUACCCAAAAUCGGGAAUCCCUUUUAAUUCCCGGAUAAACAUAUCGC
rnacentral:rRNA from 1 species